CUCCAGCCCCGAUUGCAGUGGAAAUCUUUUUGUUUCGAGCUUUGCUCGUGAACAAAAAAUUGGAACGGAAAGCGGGAAUAUGG
rnacentral:sRNA from 1 species